rnacentral:lncRNA from 1 species
CUCAAAUAAGAUAGGCCUCCCAGGUUAACUAAUUUCAGAGCAAUUUUUCAGAUUUAGAAAAUUGGAGUCAGGCGCAGUGGCUCACGCCUGUAAUCCCAGCACUUUGGGAGGCCGAGGCGGGCAGAUCACCUGAGGUCAGGAGUUCAAGACCAGCCUGGCCAAAAUGAGUUUUUCUCUGUCACCUAGAUUGAAGUGCAAUACUGUGAUCAUGGCUUACUACAGCCUCAGCUUCCCAAACGAUCCUUCUAAUCUCAGCCUCCUGAGUAGCUGGGACCACAGGAAUGUGCCAUCUUGCUUGUCUAACUAAAAAAAAAUUUUUUAUUUUAGACAUGGAGUCUCACUAUUUUGCCCAGGCUGGUGUCAAACUCCUGGGCCCAAGGAAUUUACUUGUUUUGGCCUCCUAAAUCCCCUUGGAUUAUAGGUAUGAGCCACUGUGCCCAGUCUAAGUAGAAUUUUAAAAAUCUCCUUUUCUAAAGAAAAUUGAAUUUGUUGAUAGUAAAGUUUUAAAAUUGGGAAGUUAUAUUGAAAUGUGUCUGGUGCAACCAGUGGAGUUUAAAUUAUUUUUGACCAAAAUGGAUUCUGAAGAAAUGGUAUGGAUAGAAAACAAAGAAUAUUUGAUUAAGUGAAACAAAGCCCCAGCUGCUGGAGCAGAGGUUCCACUUGGGUUCCACAGACACCCACAGCCCAAAUCCCUGGAGGCCUAAGGCAAUAGCUAAUUGAGACUAUGCAUCACUAUUAAGGCAUCUUCACUAAAGGGCGCUGUGGAAACGCUGCCUGAGAUGCAGACACCUGUCAGAAGGGGGCUAAAUUUCAAACAAGGAACGUGGUGUUGCAUCACAAUAAAGUAGAUUCUAGUAUUACCUUCCUUUUUCAGAAGAGGAGACCAAUGGGGAGCAUUGGAAUGAUUUGGUUGCAAGCAUACUACACUACUUGUAAACUGCAGACACAGGCUUAAAAAAAGUGAAAAACUAACCAUGCAAUAAAGAAUGGAAUGAACCAUGAAGCUGUUUCUGUGGCCAGUCAUGUUUUUGAAGCAUAUCCCAUGCUAAUUUCUAGAACAGAAGAAACACACGUGUUCUUGUGUGUAAACCCAGUCCAUGGAAGAGACCGUCUGCUUGUCCCUCCUGAUCUCUGGGCCCAGACAACCAGUAGUCACCAUUCCAAGUGAGGGGUGGCUGCAACUCUACAGCCCCGUUCGUCUCUCCUCACUGUCAAAGCUGCUGAGACCCCAGACUCGACACUUGAAAGAAACCCAUGUCUGUGAAGCACUUGUGGACCAUUCAAGAUUGUGGAAGAAUCACUCAAGAGAAGGAGAUAGCAAUAUUUGCAGAUAUGCAAACUGGCCCCUUGCAUGCACAUCCUGGAGCACGUCCUGGAGCCUUUAGAGGAGACGGCUGCUGCUGUUCCAGUCUCUCCUUAGGCAGACUUGAGUUUCUACCCACUCUUCCCAAGCAGCCGCCCCUCCGCACCCGAGCGAGCCAAAGACCUGGCGGGCUGAGUACUCACUGCGCGCUGGACACAUGCUGAGCCGGCACUGCAGGGACACAGGGCGAGCCGCUGGAUGCAGACCUGUGGCCGCGGCAGUUGGGCUUAUCUUGCCCAUGAAGUUGCCUCUGAAGAACCAAGUCCAACUGUGUAUGCUGAGAGAUGUCUGGCUACUUCCUGAUUGACAGUUCUGGCAAGGUGGCAUUGGGCCCUGGCUUUUCCUCUGGAGGCAUCAUCACUUAUAGGAAAAUGUCCCCUGAAGUCCAAGGAUCAAAGCUGCUGGAACACUGAGAAGCUGAACAAAGGAGAACUGUUUCUCAUCAAACCCAGACUUCCAGACUUCCAAUAGGGUAGAAUGAGCAAGUCAGCAAAUCAUCUUCCUUGGAAACAGUGAUAAAACUAGAUGACAUUGUCAACAACAGCCAUUUCAGAAAUCUAGAAAAUGACCAAAGGCAAACAACAAACUGAGAAGCAUUUUUUUUUCCAUGAAAAAUCGCUCUAUUUCUGCAAAAAUAGUGGGAGUCUAUGGCUUCUCAUCCAGGGCUGUUUCUCUCCCCACCCCAGCUCAGUCAGUACAAAGGUUCUGGCAGCAUGAGGCAGACUGAACAGACCUGAAGUUUGAUUGCUGGAAGAAACUGACUCCAGGUUUGGCAGAGGGUGAGAAACCUACUCCCAGCCAUGUUGUCUGGUGACACAGUGACCUUAGGGACAAGUGAAUAGGGAAGGCCAGUGAUUCAUUAACCUGAGGUUGCAGUCCUGGUUGGGGAAAGCAUCAGAAUGGCAGAUAAGCUAGAAAUUUAGUAGGGAUAUGCUGGAAAUGAGACAACCCCAAAGGGGCUUGACCCCAAAGUUGUCCACACACCCCAGCUGCCUUCUGAGCAGAUGUAGGGAGAGACCAGAGAAGGCCUAGGCUAUCCACACAUCUCUGGCUAACCCAGGCUGUAAACCUGUGGAGGAGACACAAGAGGUGGAUUGAUUGCUAAUGGGCAUAUGGGGGAUCUUACUGGUUGAUAGGAACAUUCUCAAAUUGGAUUGUGGUGAUGCUUGCACAACUCUAAGUUUAUCCCAAAUUGCUAAAUUUUACACUAAAAAGGGGUGAACUUUAGGGUAUAUAAAUUAUACAUCAAUAAAGUUGUCAUAAAGCAUUCACAUUCUAAUAAAUGGCUCUAAGAAA